rnacentral:lncRNA from 1 species
GUUUCAACAUUUACUAAAGCUUGCACUAUAUAUGAAUCAACACUGGCAGACACCCUCAUUAUUUCUGUUGACCAAUCAGGAGAAGUUUUAGGUGUUUCCAUGGCAACCGACAGUUAUUGCUCAGGAAUUGAUUACAGAUUGGAAUACAAAAGUUGAGAUAUCUGUUUCAGUAUCUGGCCCAGUGCCUGAUACACAAAGCUAUAUAGAUAAGAUUAAGAAAGAUGAAAGAGAGAAAGCUAAAGGAACUCAGGCUGAUAAUAGAUCUUUCUUCAGUAAAUAUUGGAUGUACAUCGUUCCAUUUGUGAUAAUGAUGUUUAUCAUGCAGUCCAUGGAUCCCCAGCAGGGAGGAGGUGGAGGGGGUGGAAGAUAAUAGCAUAAGAGAGGAAGUUGCAGCAAGUUGGUGGAGAAUAAAGAAGUGAAAUUUAGCAGAGGCAGACAUUGGAAAUACAGAACAACCAAAUUUUGAUUGUUGGAACUGUUGUUUAAUGUUUUUAAAUCACUCAUAUAAAUGGCCAGUCCAUAGUUUGUGCAGUAUGACCGGUCUGUACUCAACUUAUAUUUACUAGGCAUAUAAAAUAAUACUGAAUGUCAUGUAAUAAAACACUAAUUGAAUGGCUUGACUAUUGUAUAGUCCAAACUAGUGGCCCUUGGUCCUUCGGAACUUCAAUACUUUUUACAAUUGACCAUUAAAGCCAUUCAGUUAGUGUAGUUUCCUGUUCCAGCAAUAGCCAGUAGCUGAUGAUAUUAUCAUGUCAGAAAUAUACUUUUAGAAGUAAGUACAACAUCAGUUAAAACUGUGACUGAAAGAAAGUAUAAUAUAUGAAUGUCGGUUCGAGAAUUUUUCAUUAAGGUAUGAAAUACAUUGUUGUGAUCAAACAUUUUGUCCAUACCAAAAUGGAAACUACUAUUCUGUGAUCAGUCAGAAAGCCUUCGUGUUAUGAUAAAAUACCUGUGUGUUGCGACAGUGUUUAUUUGUAUUUGAUGUCAGUCUACAUGGUCUGCGUGUUUUCCUUAAUUAACUUAUUUGAGUGACUAUUGAACUUAUACACCUGUGCAUGUUACCAUUAUGAUAUAUGUUGUAAAUUUUCUUCUAUUAAUUAAAAUGUAUUCAGAGUAUUAAGUAGACUUAUAACAACUAUAGAGGAAAUAUGUUAAUAGCACAUACAGUAGGGAAUGAUAUGUUAGUUAUGAAGUACAUGUAAUCACUACAUUACACUGUAGAACAAACGACUGUAAAGACUGCAAGUGCCAUUGAAAAAAUUCACUGUGAAAAAAAAAGAUACGGCAUUCUGCUGGAUUUUUUUUGCAAAUCUGAUUUGAAAUAUUUUGACCAUUGUUUACAAGCAAUAUAAAAUUCACCAAUUUUGUGUACAUGAAAGCAGUGUUGUUUUAUUCCAAGUGUCAGUCUGAAGCUACCCACAAUAUGCUUAACUAUUCAAAUUUAGCUUUUAUAUGACAUAAAUAAAGACUAAUAUCUUGAAAUCAUUAAUAUUCUUGGGGGACUAAUUUUCAUGGAAUUCAUGUUCACCUCAGUUCACAAAAUUAAAUCCAGACAAAUACUGGUAAGCAAAUUUUCCCUCGAUUUUUUUUCUAAAAAAAUUGAAAUCCAAGAUGCAUUUACCUAUGAAAAAGUCAGUUUUACUGAAACCAUGAAAUUUUAUUCCCUCGAAAUCAACUGAUUUGACUGUACUUAAGGAUAAAUGUAAUUGCCAUUGCCAGAAGAAGCAAAUUUUCAAUUUCUUAUGAUUAUUUAAACCAGGUGAAAGCCAGAUAUGAUCACUUAAAAGAU